rnacentral:rRNA from 1 species
AUUGAACGCUGGCGGCAUGCUUUACACAUGCAAGUCGAACGGUAACAGGCCGCAAGGUGCUGACGAGUGGCGAACGGGUGAGUAAUGCAUCGGAACGUGCCCAGUCGUGGGGGAUAACGCAGCGAAAGCUGCGCUAAUACCGCAUACGAUCUAUGGAUGAAAGCGGGGGACCGUAAGGCCUCGCGCGAUUGGAGCGGCCGAUGUCAGAUUAGGUAGUUGGUGGGGUAAAGGCCCACCAAGCCAACGAUCUGUAGCUGGUCUGAGAGGACGACCAGCCACACUGGGACUGAGACACGGCCCAGACUCCUACGGGAGGCAGCAGUGGGGAAUUUUGGACAAUGGGCGCAAGCCUGAUCCAGCAAUGCCGCGUGCAGGAAGAAGGCCUUCGGGUUGUAAACUGCUUUUGUACGGAACGAAACGGCUCUGGUUAAUACCUGGGGCUAAUGACGGUACCGUAAGAAUAAGCACCGGCUAACUACGUGCCAGCCGCCGCAGUAACAC